rnacentral:rRNA from 1 species
GACGAACGCUGGCGGCGUGCUUAACACAUGCAAGUCGAGCGAUGGAACACCUUCGGGUGCGGAUUAGCGGCGAACGGGUGAGGAACACGUGAGGAAUCUGCCUUCCACUCUGGGAUAGCUCCGGGAAACCGGGGCUAAUACCGGAUACUUUCAACUGGCGGCAUCGCCGGUUGAAGAAAGUUUUUCGGUGGAAGAUGACCUCGCGGCCUAUCAGCGUGUUGGGGAGGUAAAGGCACACCAAGGCGACGACGGGUAGCCGGCCUGAGAGGGCGACCGGCCACACUGGGACUGAGACACGGCCCAGACUCCUACGGGAGGCAGCAGUGGGAAUAUUGGGCAAUGGAGGAAACUCUGACCCAGCGACGCCGCGUGAGGGAUGAAGGCCUUCGGGUUGUAAACCUCUUUCAGCAGGGAAUAAGCGAAAGUGAAGGUACCUGCAGAAGAAGCACCGGCUAACUAUGUGCCAGCCGCCGCCGUAA